AUGAGUGAUAACCAGCUUACACUGCGAUGGGUAGGUUAUGAGCAAGAGAUGUGGGUGUUGGGUUUGAAGAUGAAUGACAAAGCUGAGCCCUCUUUUGCUACGCUACAUACACUGAAUUUUCACUGUUCAGUUGCAUUUUGUUUUGGAUUCGGUAUGGAUCCUCCUCUCUCUCUCUCUCUCUCUCUCUCUCUCUCUCUAUGUCUAUAUAUGUAUAUUAGUAUAUAUAUCCUACAACAAAUCAGUCAAGCUGUCAUUGCCUACUCGCUGACCCAUGGUCUGGGUGGACUGACACUAUGGUGCCGCCAGCCACCACCGUUCCAUUGCCUUGGAUUCGGUUGUGGCGUGGGCUGGGAACCAUACAGUGUUGUCUGA
rnacentral:rRNA from 1 species